UCAAUGGUAGUGUGAACCAAAUAAAGAUGAUAAGACUUGUGCAAUAAACUCAAGUGCAAUAACUAUUUUUACUAUGGUCUGAAGUCUCUCAGAUAAAGUCAUUUACAGUGCCGUUCAUCAGCAUGUAACUGCAAUGGUUCAGACCUUGAUCUCCUUCAAUAUGAUAUUGGACUAGCUUAAUGAUCUGUGCGAGUUUUAAUGUAUUAUGUCUAUUUAUAUUGUCCAUGCAUUGUUUUCUCGUGUUACCAAUAAAGUGGGUAGUUUUGUG
rnacentral:misc_RNA from 1 species